GGGGGGGCUAUGCUGCAGUCGAGCGACGCAUGCCCAGUUCGUAAGAACAGGGUAUGACGGAGCGGCGAACGGGUGAGUAACACGUGAGCAACCUGCCCCACAGACCGGGAUAGCCCAAGGAAACUUGGAUUAAUGCCGGAUUCCCUCGAACAAUCGCAUGGUUGAUCGAGGAAAGGCCUUUGUGCUGUGGGAUGGGCUCGCGGCUUAUCAGCUAGUUGGUGGGGUAAAGGCCUACCAAGGCAUCGACGAGUAGCUGGUCUGAGAGGACGAUCAGCCACACUGGAACUGAGGCACGGUCCAGACUCCUACGGGAGGCAGCAGCAGGGAAUCUUGCGCAAUGGGCGAAAGCCUGACGCAGCAACGCCGCGUGGGGGAUGAAGGCCUUCGGGUUGUAAACCCCUUUCAGGAGGGAAGAAAUUGACGGUACCUCCAGAAGAAGGUCCGUUUUACUACGUGCCAGCAGCCGCGGUAAUACGUAGGGUCCUAGCGUUAUCCGGAAUCAUUGGGCGUAAAGAGCUCGUAGGCGGUUCAGCAAGUCGGCUGUGAAAGUCCGAGGCUUAACCUCGGAAUUGCAGUCGAUACUGCUGUGACUCGAGUCCGGUAGAGGAGAAUGGAAUUCUCGGUGUAGCGGUGAAAUGCGCAGAUAUCGAGAGGAACACCAGUAGCGAAGGCGGUUCUCUGGGCCGGCACUGACGCUGAGGAGCGAAAGCGUGGGGAGCAAACAGGAUUAGAUACCCUGGUAGUCACGCCGUAAACGUUGGAUACUAGGGGGUGGCGGUUGUAC
rnacentral:rRNA from 1 species